rnacentral:rRNA from 1 species
AUUGAACGCUGGCGGCAGGCCUAACACAUGCAAGUCGAGCGGAUGAAGAGAGCUUGCUCUCUGAUUUAGCGGCGGACGGGUGAGUAAUGCCUAGGAAUCUGCCUGGUAGUGGGGGAUAACGUUCCGAAAGGAACGCUAAUACCGCAUACGUCCUACGGGAGAAAGCAGGGGACCUUCGGGCCUUGCGCUAUCAGAUGAGCCUAGGUCGGAUUAGCUAGUCGGUGAGGUAAUGGCUCACCAAGGCUACGAUCCGUAACUGGUCUGAGAGGAUGAUCAGUCACACUGGAACUGAGACACGGUCCAGACUCCUACGGGAGGCAGCAGUGGGGAAUAUUGGACAAUGGGCGAAAGCCUGAUCCAGCCAUGCCGCGUGUGUGAAGAAGGUCUUCGGAUUGUAAAGCACUUUAAGUUGGGAGGAAGGGCAGUAAGUUAAUACCUUGCUGUUUUGACGUUACCGACAGAAUAAGCACCGGCUAACUUCGUGCCAGCCGCCGCCGUAAAAC